rnacentral:rRNA from 1 species
AGCAGCCGCGGUAAUUCCAGCUCCAAUAGCGUAUAUUAAAGUUGUUGCAGUUAAAAAGCUCGUAGUUGAAUUUCGGGGUUAGUAGGUUGGUCAUGCCUCUGGUAUGUACUGGUCUCACUGAUUCCUCCUUCCUGAUGAACCUUAAUGCCAUUAAUUUGGUGUUUUGGGGAAUUUGGACUGUUACUUUGAAAAAAUUAGAGUGUUUAAAGCAAGCUAACGCUUGAAUACAUUAGCAUGGAAUAAUGAAAUAGGACGUUCGAUCCUAUUUUGUUGGUUUCUAGGAUUGACGUAAUGAUUAAUAGGGAUAGUUGGGGGCAUUAGUAUUCAAUUGUCAGAGGUGAAAUUCUUGGAUUUAUUGAAGACUAACUACUGCGAAAGCAUUUGCCAAGGAUGUUUUCAUUAAUCAAGAACGAAAGUUAGGGGAUCGAAGACGAUCAGAUACCGUCGUAGUCUUAACCAUAAACUAUGCCGACU